GAUGAACGCUAGCGGCAGGCUUAAUACAUGCAAGUCGUGGGGCAGCAGGAGUAGCAAUACUUGCUGGCGACCGGCAAACGGGUGCGUAACACGUACGCAACCUUCCUACAGGCGGGGAAUAGCCCAGAGAAAUUUGGAUUAAUACCCCAUAAGAUUUUGGAGUGGCAUCACUCUAUUAUUAAAGCUUCGGCACCUGAAGAUGGGCGUGCGGCUGAUUAGGUAGUUGGCGGGGUAACGGCCCACCAAGCCUUCGAUCAGUAGCUGAUGUGAGAGCAUGAUCAGCCACACGGGCACUGAGACACGGGCCCGACUCCUACGGGAGGCAGCAGUAAGGAAUAUUGGUCAAUGGACGAAAGUCUGAACCAGCCAUGCCGCGUGGAGGAUGAAGGUCCUCUGGAUUGUAAACUUCUUUUAUUUGGGACGAAAAAAGGGCAUUCUUGCUCACUUGACGGUACCAGAUGAAUAAGCACCGGCUAACUCCGUGCC
rnacentral:rRNA from 1 species